rnacentral:rRNA from 1 species
UACGUAGGGGGCAAGCGUUGUCCGGAUUUAUUGGGCGUAAAAGGCUUGUAGGUGGCCACGCCAAGUCGGAUGUGAAAUCUCCCGGCUCAACUGGGGAGGGUCAUUCGAUACUGUUCGACUCGAAGGCAGGAGAGGGAAGUGGAAUUCCGGGUGUAGUGGUGAAAUGCGUAGAUAUCCGGAGGAACACCAGUGGCGAAGGCGACUUUCUGGCCUGUUCUUGACGCUGAGGCGCGAAAGCUAGGGGAGCAAACGGG